GAUGAACGCUGGCGGCGUGCCUAACACAUGCAAGUUGAGCGAUUCUCUUCGGAGAAGAGCGGCGGACGGGUGAGUAACGCGUGGGUAACCUGCCCUGUACACACGGAUAACAUACCGAAAGGUAUGCUAAUACGAGAUAAUAUGCUUUUAUCGCAUGAUAGAAGUAUCAAAGCUUUUGCGGUACAGGAUGGACCCGCGUCUGAUUAGCUAGUUGGUAAGGUAACGGCUUACCAAGGCGACGAUCAGUAGCCGACCUGAGAGGGUGAUCGGCCACAUUGGAACUGAGACACGGUCCAAACUCCUACGGGAGGCAGCAGUGGGGAAUAUUGCACAAUGGGCGAAAGCCUGAUGCAGCAACGCCGCGUGAGCGAUGAAGGCCUUCGGGUCGUAAAGCUCUGUCCUCAAGGAAGAUAAUGACGGUACUUGAGGAGGAAGCCCCGGCUAACUACGUGCCAGCCGCCGCGGUAA
rnacentral:rRNA from 1 species